rnacentral:rRNA from 1 species
AAAACGACUCUCGGCAACGGAUAUCUCGGCUCUCGCAUCGAUGAAGAACGUAGCGAAAUGCGAUACUUGGUGUGAAUUGCAGAAUCCCGUGAACCAUCGAGUCUUUGAACGCAAGUUGCGCCCCAAGCCGUUAGGCCGAGGGCACGUCCGCCUGGGUGUCACGC